rnacentral:rRNA from 1 species
UACCAGCACCCCGAGUGGUCGGGACGUUUAUUGGGCCUAAAGCAUCCGUAGCCGGUUCUACAAGUCUUCCGUUAAAUCCACCUGCUUAACAGAUGGGCUGCGGAAGGUACUAUGGAGCUAGGAGGCGGGAGAGGCAAGCGGUACUCGAUGGGUAGGGGUAAAAUCCGUUGAUCCAUUGAAGACCACCAGUGGCGAAGGCGGCUUGCCAGAACGCGCUCGACGGUGAGGGAUGAAAGCUGGGGGAGCAAACCGG